AUAUAGUGUGACAUAUCAUGCAAAAUAGGAUUUUACUUUCUCUUUUGAAAUAAGAGAGUUAGAUGUACUAUGUACUCUUUAAUACUCUAAUGCAAUGCAAAACCUUCCUUCCAUCAGGAUAAUUAUGGAAAGUCAUGGUGCUGACGUCUGGACCAACAAAUAGCUGAAAGAAGGUUAUAAAGGGUUGGAACAGCAUGAGGGCAGCAGGACCCUGAGGAAGUGUGAGAGUCCAUGGCUCGACACACACUGUGAUAAAUUGCUCUCACUCCAACGCUGAUGUACCCGGAGUCUGGGAUACUGUGACAGGUUGGACUGAUCCUGUGGCGGCUGGUGUUGAGUCUGAGGUCAGUUGGACUGUGGAUGGUGUUAUGGAUGCAGUUAUGGACAUUGGUACAGUGGCAGGCUCAAGAGUAACUGCUAAUGUUGGCACUGAAAGUGAAGAACAACAUUAUAGCCUGUUUUUUUUUUACUGGAGCUGCGCAAGUAAAUUUUUCUGGUCUUUGAACUGAUACUGACACCUACGUACACUACUGAUGUUGUUGCAGUAUCAUGCAAAAGCAAAUGUUUUUGGUUAAAGAUGUCAUUGAUUUAUACUCUGCACAUUUAUCACCCGUUAUUAAUUAAUUCGACAACAGAACGUGUCGGAAAAAUGUUGGUAGUAUUAAGCUGGACAUGUGAUCUAAAUAUGGCCACCACUAAGAGAAGAAAACUUUCUUAUCUAAUUAAAUAGCUUUUAUGCAGCUGAUAUGACUAGCCUGUUAAUCAUUUGAAACUUUUUCAAAAGUGCCACUGAAUUCUUCUGAUGCAAAACUUAAAAAAGUAAUAUAUGUGCCAAUAUCAUCACUAAAAAUGCAAAUGUUUCACCUUUAAGCUGGAAAAAAUACCAAGUGCCCCUUUAAAAAUAAUCUUGAGGAAAAAGAUUCUACUAUAUUCCUCAUGAGAUCAGUCAUCACCUCAGAUUUCCAACAAAACAGCAUUAGACCCCCACAAAUGGGCAGAACUGCAGUGAAAUGUCCUAUAACCUUGAGCACACCCUCAUACAUCACUAGCCAGCAUUAGAAUGCUUUGCGUCUUAAAUCACAUGAAACAUUUAUGAAGUAGAAAACUGUGGAAAAAUGCAUCACGCCAUCAGAGUGCACAGUGACAGUUAAGGGACGGAUCAGAACCGACGUCUUGUUAACGACAUGAAAUAAAGAGGCCAAAAAGAGUGAUAGCAGCAGCAGCAGCACAAAAAAAAAAAAACAUGAAAACGACAUUCAGCGUAUUACAUUAGCAUGCCACUUACUGUCAGA